GACGAACGCUGGCGGCGUGCUUAACACAUGCAAGUCGAACGGUGAAGCGCUUGCCUUUUUGGUGGGUGUGGAUGAGUGGCGAACGGGUGAGUAACACGUGAGUAACCUGCCCUCUUCUUCUGGAUAACCUCAUGAAAGUGGGGCUAAUACGGGGUAUUCCGGGUCUGUCGCAUGGCGGGUUUGGGAAAGAUUGCGCCUUUGGGUGUUUUCGGUGGGGGAUGGGCUCGCGGCCUAUCAGCUUGUUGGUGGGGUGAUGGCCUACCAAGGCGGUGACGGGUAGCCGGCCUGAGAGGGUGGACGGCCACACUGGGACUGAGACACGGUCCAGACUCCUGCGGGAGGCAGCAGUGGGGAAUAUUGCACAAUGGGCGCAAGCCUGAUGCAGCGACGCCGCGUGAGGGAUGGAGGCCUUCGGGUUGUGAACCUCUUUCGCCAGUCAAGCAGGCCUGCUCCUGUGUGGGUGGGUUGACGGUAGCUGGAUAAGAAGCGCCGGCUAACUACGUG
rnacentral:rRNA from 1 species